rnacentral:rRNA from 1 species
CAGCAGCCGCGGUAACACGAAGGGUGCAAGCGUUAAUCGGAAUUACUGGGCGUAAAGCGUGCGUAGGCGGUUUGUUAAGUCUGUUGUGAAAUCCCCGGGCUCAACCUGGGAAUGGCAAUGGAUACUGGCAAGCUAGAGUGUGUCAGAGGAUGGUGGAAUUCCCGGUGUAGCGGUGAAAUGCGUAGAGAUCGGGAAGAACAUCAGUGGCGAAGGCGGCCAUCUGGGACAACACUGACGCUGAGGCACGAAAGCGUGGGGAGCAAACAGGAUUAGAUACCCCAGUAGUCCCUGUCUCUUAUAC